rnacentral:ncRNA from 1 species
AUCUUUCACCGUGCUGUUAAGCGGUUUAAUGAACAGAUUAUUGUGGUUGAGGACGACAUCGCCUUUCGCGGUCGUUAUCUCGCCGUCCAGCGGAAUAUCAAGAUGUAAGCGAGCACUCACAUCACCAUCCAACUGGAGCUCAUCGAGGGCUGUAGAAAGCGUAUCUUUCAGCGGCGUAUCUUUAAAAUAGGGCCCAACCGCUUUCCCUGGCCCGUUGAUAUCGGCAUCAAUGAGCAGUUUCUCUUUAAUAUAAUCCGGAAUGACAGCCGUCAGGUUUGUGGCUUUAACACCGCCUAAUGCCACUUCAUCCGUCUUCAUCCACAGGCCGUCAUUGAUGAAAUCGAGUUGAAUAUCGAAAUUUUUCAGCGCAGGCCAGUCUGGCUGGAAGGCAAAGGUGGCGUUACGUAACGGCAC